UAGCGGAAUGGAAUAAGGUGGAAGGGAGUGGAGCAGAGCAGAAGUGAACAAAAUAAAUUAGUCCAUCUAUCAAAACCAACCCUGCUAUCUCUCGUUUUAACAUAUUCCUUCUUUUCAUAUCAUGUUGCAUCUCAGAGGUUUUCCAUACUUCCACGAACUUCCUUCAACCCCAAAAUCUCAUUUUCUUCUUCUCAAACUCAAACCCCAUAAUCAUCCCGCACAUAGAAUGGUUUAAAUCUGAUUCAGUGUGUUUUGAAAUUGGAGAGUGAUUUGGCAUAGAAUGGCAUGGCUCGGCAGAUGCAAUGUUUUUAGAGGUAUUAUUGCAAAUUUGGAGACUUAAGUAAUAAAGUGUCGAAGACAUGGCUCAGGAUGCGCGUUUUGAAGAAAUAAAGUGCCAAAGCUCUGUCAAACUCGCUAAGCGUAAAUUCUAGCGCGCUAUGGCCUGAUUCUCUUUCCCUUUGCAGUAGUUGAAGCUUCGUAAGCUCGCUUAGCACGAUUAUUUCUGUCGUUUAGUGUAAAGUAUUUGUGAAUAGUGUUCAGAUAAGCGAAAGACCGCUUAGCGAGACAUAGCUCGCUUAAUGAGGUUUGCGAGUUCAUAAUUGUAUAUAUGUUGUAAAAUCAUAUUUUGUUAAGUUUUGUCAUCUCUUCUUUGACAAAGAUGAGCUCUGAUCCAUUCUUUGUAGUUUAGAGGUUCCAGCAACAUCAUUGGGUGGCUCAUCAUGUCGAUAGAGCUCGGGUGGUCUUUGAUUUUGCCGACAACACGAGAAGUUUUCAUUUUCUCUUCUUCUUCCCUGUGACCCAUUCCAAUGGUGGGGUUUGUGUGUAUAUUUUUCCUCUCUUGU